AUCAAAAACACACUGGAAUCAGUCCUCUGGCAGUUGAGAGCCUGCUUUGGUGAGGCUUUCUUUCUGGUUACCUCAGCAGGACAAAUGUCCUCAGGGCAUAUCUCACUCCACGGACCAGGUUUUGAAUGGAUAUUAGCAAUUUGAUUUCCCUCCUCCUCCAGCUCUCCUCUCAUGCAAAAACACAGAGCUGACUGGCUUUGCUCCUCCCAAUUCUCUCCAUAUAUUCACCCCAAGGCCAGUUGUCAUAGGACUGUGCCUGCAUAGAACCAGUCAAUUGAAGCUUUCCAAACCUUGCCACCUGCAAGGGUUUCCAGAAGAUGAAAAGCUGGUGUGCAACUGGAGAGUCCAGACAUGAAAUGCAGGACUUGUUUGCCCCCUGCCCUAAAGGGGUCUGCAGCCUCCUCCCCACAGAGGCAGCAGCUGAGCAUCCUUAGAGGACACAGAGGAACUCUGCUCUUCCCAGCCAAAGCAAGGUUCACCUGGGACUUGGAAACAGGUGUCUACAAUGAAUGGGAAAGCACAGGGGGCAUGCCUGGAGGCAGCCCAGGACUGUGAGGAGAAGCUGAAGGCACUCUGGCUGCUCAGCCCCCUUUCUCUGCAGCACUGCUGGUCAGGUUUUCCUGAGGCCCUUCCAGCAUCCCCCAUCUCACCAUGCACAGAGACAAGGUACCAGCUCCCAGAUGCCCAAGCAGCAGGUUGCUGUGCUGCUCAAGGAGAGAAAUCUAUCUCAAGAAUAUCUUCUCAAGAAACUCCAAAGAAGAAACUGGGCCAUUGCACCAAAAUGUGCAGGUCCAAGGACAACUUGCUCAGGAGUCUCUGGUGGAGAAGGUGCCAGUGUCCAUCCUGCAGUGACAGUCCAAGCCCUGGGGGCCAGGAGGAGUCACCAGCAGAUCAAACAACAUCCAAUGUCUUUGCCACUUUAAGCUGAAUUUUUAUUUUCUUGGAGUCAAAGGAGCUAAAAAGGAGGGAACACAAUCUUUUCCAGCCAGCUCUACUCAUGAGUGAUUGUGCAGAGCUGUGCUAAUGGGCUCUGCCAAGCUGUGGUCACCCUACGGAGCUAUUGGCAGGAGAGGUGGCAAGUUGGAAGGGACUACAAGGGAACUCUGCAUGAUAUUUUUUGAUGAGCUGAUUAUUCAGAAAUUUCACAAGAGCUGAAAUAUAUCACUCUGUUCUGAAACUCACAGCCCUGCCAACACACAGGACAGCUUACAUGAGCAGCAGCAUUUUCUCCUUCACAGAGCUGCUGGCCUGCACGUCAGGAUGCGGGAAUUGGACAAGGCUUUUCAGCAGCCAUCGACCACAGUGACAGUGAGAGGUGGGGAGUGGAUGGGAGGACACAGAAAGCUGGCACAGAAAUUAUUUUGGUACUUUCAUGGCUGUCACUAUGUGUGUAUUUGGGCUUGAGAGUUUUUCAUGAGCUCUGUGGGUACUGGGGCAUUUAGAAUUUUAUUGCUUUAUGGCUGGGUAUGAGAUCACCCCAGAUUCCACAUGGACUCAGGUAUUUUUAUUUCAGGAGUGCUCAGUCCUGGCCACAUUUCAGGGUACUGUCACAUGCCCAGGAGCUGACCUUGACUUCCCCACUGCAGCCAGGACCUGCUGUCUUGGCAUCAGCCUGUCUGCAGCCCAGUCAGGCUCCCACAGAGACCAGCAGAACAUUUUCCCUUCUCUCCAGUAUUACCUAAAAACAAAACACUGGCUUAUUUGAGCACAGAAUCAAAAGAGAGCCUGAUACCUGGGGGUGGGUGAAUGUGUGCUGGGGGAGCUUAGAAGCAGCAUAGGUUUCUGAACUAACCCACAAAAUCUUCAAGGAGCUGACACAGCCCAUCCCCAGCCCAUUCUUCUGUCAGCACACACCUGUUUUGAGCUGCCUGGGGCAGCAUCAGCUGUCCCGUGGAGAACCUGGAGCUGGUACAUCUGCAUCUGGAGCAAGAACAAUGCUGAAGUGCUGAAAGACAAAUAACAAACAUCCCCAUGCUGCACUGACAGCCUUUGCUGAAAGCACCUGAGCUGCCUGGCAUGGCAGUGGAUGUGUGGGCUGAUGUGUCCCAUCAGAUUGAGCUCCCAAUAACCUGUCUGCUCUCCUGUCCGUGCCCUGAGUCACCUCCUGUGCAAUUUCUGUUCCGGGGCAGUCAGGGGACACGUGGAGCUCCCAGGCUGUUCCCACAAGUCAGUGAGGAGAGCUGUGGCUGAUCCAUAUCUGGUUUACUCAUGGAAAAAGAGGCGCACAGGAACAGCCCGUGCAGUCCUUCAGAGGAGCUGCUGCUUCAGGAAAAACUCUUAGGAAUUGAAAAAGUCUGGGAAAUUUCCUUCUGAGUAAGGACAGGGAAUGAGGGUCUGAGCUGUGUCCUGUUAGGAAGCCACCCCAUUGGGACCACUCCUCUUGUGCCACGUCCCUCUGAGCCCCUGCACUGGGGAUUUUUCCCAUGUUUCCUGCUUUGGAUGAGGGAGCUCAGCACUGCAGCAUUCCCCAGCCCACAGGCAAGCCCCAGGCAUGACCCCAGGAGGGUGAGAGAUGAAGGCUGAAAAGGACAAAGAUGGUUACAAAGUUCAUCAGUGUCUUCAGCACAGCAUCUCCUCGCAUUUCCUGCAAUGGCACCUCUGCAUACAGCUCCUUGCCCAUGGAAAAUUAAGUCUGUAAGAAGUAUAUAAAUGAUCCAGACAACACCUUCAAGGUCCACAUCUUAAAAAAACUGCAAGGGUUUACUCCACAUACUGCUGCAGGAUGUCAUGUACCUCAUGAUCUGCCUUUUCUAAUCUCUCCUUAUCUCUCACUCCAAUCCUUUCUCAUGUCCCUCAUCUAUUGCAAAUUCCCUUUUUAAGCUGGAGCGAAGCACAUAAAUAUUUUCAUGCUGCAUAAAUAGGUUGUUUUGUGCAUAAUGUCACAGGAGGCCUUUUUUAAAACCAGGACCUUUAGUGCUGUGAUAACGGCCUCCUCAUUUACACAAAUGAAAUCUUCCAUGGAGCUCAGCACUCAUCUGCUCUGCAGCCCCCAUGCAAAAUGCCUGGCACAGAGCCUGCUCAUCACAGGCUACAGAAUUAAUACAGAAUAUUCCAUAAUAAAUAGGAAGCCAUUGAGCAGCAGGUUUGAAAAUGCCUUGCAAAUGUAACUGAUGCUGAGGUUUUUCUUUAGUGUUGCCCAGCAGCACAACCAUUGUCUUCCUUCUAUGUGAAAUCACAGCAACUUGAAAUGCUAAAGUGCAAAAGGACAACCAUUUAUGUUGGCCCAUUUGCCAGCAUCUUUGACCAUUCUGUCUGUUCACCUUACCUUCUCUGUUGCUUCUUGCUCCCUGACCUUCAUUUCCUGUUUAUUCAGCCCUUGCUCAGGGUCUAAAAAGUGCAGACACCAUCAAAAUGGACUUUUCAUUUACUCUGCACAGAAAAAGAAAUAGUGUUACAAUCUGUACAGUUUUUAAAAGGGCUAAUGGAAGAUACUGGGGGCCACACUGGGUCAUGGUAUGUCUUUGAAUCAAAGUGGUUUUCAGGAGCAAUAUUUAAAUAGCACAACAGUAAAAACUGGAAUCAAACAUCAGUGAUUUUGCUCUAGUAUUUCUAUUUAUAUUUGACAAGCUUAAAGACUUCAAGCCAUUGGACUGAAUGGCUCUGCAGUACAGAGCAGAGAGACACUUGGUGAAAAUGAUGAGAACUCAUCCAUUGUGCAUUGUCAUACUUCUCAGGUCAGGCUGUAACCCUCCAGGACAGACUAUCAUGGAGCAGCUGAAUUUGCUCUGAACAUGAUCACACUGUGCUGCCAGGCAGGCAAAGCUCUACCAGGCUCUGGUCUGGACCUGACUCCUCAAGCCCUCAGGCAGGCUCUGCACCCUGUGGCCUCCCUCAGCAUGACUCUUAUUGAAAGACUUGGGGGCAUUUUGUUUUUCGUCCUGACUUUGGGGGACACGGAAAGCUUUGGUUGUUUGCUUCCCUGCAGUUCCGGAGGAGGAUUAUGGGUGCUCUUUUCACACAUCUUAUGGACUCGUUUAGUCUCUCUUCCAUCUGUUGUUUGACUUCUUUUCCUGUAUUAUGUGUUAGCAAUCAACAACUAACCUGUGGUGGGUUUCUUCCUGUGCAGGGUUCUGAACACAGCAUUUCUUGCCCUGAGAUUGUUCCACGUGGGAGGCUCCCACUUGUUUGUGUCUGUGAGCAGCCACUCAUGCCAGCCUAACUCUAAUGUGAUUACUAUUCCAUGAGCAACUUCCCAUAUGAAUUGCUUUACAGAAGUGUUUUCUGUCACUUAAAACUCCAGAAGCCUUUUCAUAAUGCAUUAAAAGAACAGAAAAAAGAAAGAUUUCAGGAAGCUUAAUAUUUCUUGUUAUAGAACUCACCUGCAGAAAGAACAGCUUUCCAAGUUUAUCUUGGCUAGUCUGUAACAAAGUCUUGGUUUGUAUGAAUUGCCACACUGCUAAAAGAUCUAAUUUUUCUAUGAUAAAAUAGCCUACAUACAGUAACUGAAUCAAAGAGCACACAAGGAGUAAACACUUUAUAACGUACCUAAACGCAGUAGCUACUUGAUUUUCCUGGCACUUUAUUUCUAUUUAGGCCAAGGGACAAUUUAAAAAGAUUCAUUCCCAAGUACACAAUUCAGAAAAAUAUGAGUUACAAUUCAGAGCAAUAUUUUGAACCAAUGCUGUUUAGUUGUCUUAGCUGGAAUUCAACCUUGAUGAUAUCCAAAGGUCCAAUAAAAUUUUUCAUGGAAGAAUCCCAUACUUGUAGAACAUAAUAAAAUUGUUGAGCUGCAGUUCCAGGGCCACUGAGAACUGGAGAAUGAGGCUGUUCUUUCUGGGGACUUUCUGGUGUCUUGGGAUGUGUUCCAAACACUUUGUUACCUGAGAAGUAUCAAACAUAACAGAUCAUUACAUAUAAUAGCAGCUUUGAUCUUUGUUAGUAAGACAAAAUGUGAGGCUGUUUAUUACUAACGACUUAGGUGCUCAUUAGUGUGUUCUGACAGGAGCCCCUGACAGCAGUAGGCAAAAGGAAAUGUUCAGUGUUAAACCCCCACACAGCACAUUGCAGCUCCUAUGCCACAGAGGAAGGAGAAAAGCCUUGCACACAACUAUUUUAAAAUUAUUUAUCAGAGCUGGAAAGAGAUUUGUCUGAUUUCUUAUCUGCUUUUUCAAUAAACUGCACUUGCAAAUAAUAGCAAUGCCUGCCUUUCACAUCGUGCUUUUCAUUCCUAACUCACAAAGCACCCUUGGAAAGAGGUCAGGAUCAUUUUACAAAAAACAAACAUGAAGUGAGGCCACCUCUCUGAUGUCCCUGAGUAAGACAGCACAGUCCCCAGCUCUGUUGACCGCUCCUCAUGGGAACAAAGGAUUAGAAAGGGCAUCUUGUGUCAUCAAAUCCAGCUUCUUACUCUUCAAAUCUAUUUUGCUAUAAUAACCUCAUGCAAGACUCUUUGGGGCUCAUGAUCUCUUAUAUAAGCUCCUACAAAUAAUCUUUCAAGACUAUCAUCUCUUGUUUAUCCUCAUCCAUCCUGACCAUGUGGUGGGACUCUGCCUAAUGCCAAGGAAUUACACACCAGUGAUUUGGAACCAUCACCGAGAAAAUGCCCCCAUGCUGAAGAAUGAAUGGGGCAAUUCUUGCCAUGUCUGCUCCAAUUUUAUGCAUCUCUUGGUGGUCCAU